CUAGUACUCCCUCCGUCCGAAAAAGAUUGUUCUUCAAAUGGAUGUAUCUAGCAUCAAGUUAGUGCUAGAUACAUUCAUUUGAAAAACAAGCUUGGGACAAACUUUUCUGGACGGAAGGAGUAGCAA
rfam:Triticum aestivum genome assembly, contig: Triticum_aestivum_CS42_TGACv1_scaffold_571864_7AS